AGGGGUGUAGCUCAGAUGGCCAGAGCGCCGGCCUCCAAAGCCGGAUGCCGCAGGUUCGACUCCUGCCGCCCCUGCCC
rnacentral:tRNA from 1 species